GACGAACGCUGGCGGCGUGCUUAACACAUGCAAGUCGAACGCUGAAGCUUGGUGCUUGCACUGGGUGGAUGAGUGGCGAACGGGUGAGUAAUACGUGAGUAACCUGCCCUUGACUCUGGGAUAAGCAUGGGAAACUGGGUCUAAUACUGGAUACGACAUGUCACCGCAUGGUGGUGUGUGGAAAGGGUUUUACUGGUUUUGGAUGGGCUCACGGCCUAUCAGCUUGUUGGUGGGGUAAUGGCUCACCAAGGCGACGACGGGUAGCCGGCCUGAGAGGGUGACCGGCCACACUGGGACUGAGAAACGGCCCAGACUCCGACGGGAGGCAGCAGUGGGGAAUAUUGCACAAUGGGCGGAAGCCUGAUGCAGCGACGCCGCGUGAGGGAUGACGGCCUUCGGGUUGUAAACCUCUUUCAGCACGGAAGAAGCGAAAGUGACGGUACGUGCAGAAGAAGCGCCGGCUAACUACGUG
rnacentral:rRNA from 1 species